CUUUGGGGAGUGGAGGGGAAGAUCAACCUGUCACAAGAGCUCUGCCUCUGAACGCCCCUUGGCAGGGCAUCCCCAGGACGGGUCCCUCUGCCUGGGCCCCAGCCCCUCGGCAUCCCAGAAGGCAUAUAUGGCCACACUGGGAGCUCCCUCUAGUGGCAGACAGGCCCCGAGGGUCUGCUCAAGGUUGACCUUGUGCCCGCGGUGGGCAGGCAGGUGUCAGGGAUGAUGAAGUGGCCUCAGAGAGUGGGUGGGAUUCACUCUUUGAUGGUAAGAAUGCAUGCAAGUGCUCCGGAAACUGGAACAGGCCGCCGGAGUGGGAGUGGAGUGCUUCCACAGGGAGUGGGAGCAGGGGACCUGGUACAGGUUUUCACACGCACUGCAGAGUUUCCAGAGAUAAAGCCCCACAACCAGAGAUGGCAAAGCACCUCCUUUCUCUGCCUCCAGGGAGGAGAAUUCAGCCGAGCAGGAAACUACGGAGCCUCUGAUUGGCUUCUGAGAGCUGGAGCAGUUUCUCUCAAUAAACAGGAGCAGCCAGCAGCAGGACUGGAGUCCACAGGUGAUCUGUCUCUGACCUCAGGUGUACACAACCAUCCUCUCAGAAGACAGGCAAGCAAGGCAGCUCUCCUGCCCCUCAGCACUGGCCACGCUGGGACACAGUGGGACAUCAGGACUUUAAGCCAUCCUUUAGGCCAAAGAAUCCCCACAUAACAAAUUCAUUGUGUGCAAUAAAGAACUUGGCUGCACCCCUAUCGGGGCGUUUGAGAUCCAAAUUGCUGCCUUGGCACUUCGGAGACACAGAAAGGAGAAAUGAGCUCAGGGUCUCUGGGAAAAGCCCUUUAAACCUGCUUGAGAAAUCAGAUUUGUCUGG